rnacentral:lncRNA from 1 species
CGGUGAUAGUGUGCCAGAAGUUCACCCAAGGUGUCAUCCUCGUCCGGGAUAUACUCCCUGAACCAUCGCUGCAUCGCUGUCUCAAUAUAACUCGGCAUCUCAUCCUCGUUGGGUACAGUGGGGCAUCGGCUAUACUAGCCUCAACAUCUCUCCUCAUAUUCCACAUCAACUGCCUCAUAUCAGAAUCCAUCAUCUCAAACAAUUCCGCCAUCAAA